rnacentral:rRNA from 1 species
GUCGAGCGGAUGAGAAGAGCUUGCUCUUCGAUUCAGCGGCGGACGGGUGAGUAAUGCCUAGGAAUCUGCCUGGUAGUGGGGGACAACGUUUCGAAAGGAACGCUAAUACCGCAUACGUCCUACGGGAGAAAGCAGGGGACCUUCGGGCCUUGCGCUAUCAGAUGAGCCUAGGUCGGAUUAGCUAGUUGGUGAGGUAAUGGCUCACCAAGGCGACGAUCCGUAACUGGUCUGAGAGGAUGAUCAGUCACACUGGAACUGAGACACGGUCCAGACUCCUACGGGAGGCAGCAGUGGGGAAUAUUGGACAAUGGGCGAAAGCCUGAUCCAGCCAUGCCGCGUGUGUGAAGAAGGUCUUCGGAUUGUAAAGCACUUUAAGUUGGGAGGAAGGGCAUUAACCUAAUACGUUAGUGUUUUGACGUUACCGACAGAAUAAGCACCGGCUAACUCUGUGCCAGCA